rnacentral:miRNA from 1 species
CGGAGCCGGGAUUGGAACCUUGG